rnacentral:rRNA from 1 species
UACGAAGGGGGCUAGCGUUGUUCGGAAUUACUGGGCGUAAAGGGCGCGUAGGCGGUGUGUCAAGUCAGGCGUGAAAGCCCCGGGCUCAACCUGGGAAUUGCGAUGGAGACUGCAAGGCUUGAAUCUGGCAGAGGGGGGUAGAAUUCCACGUGUAGCAGUGAAAUGCGUAGAGAUGUGGAGGAACACCGAUGGCGAAGGCAGCCCCCUGGGUCAAGAUUGACGCUCAUGCACGAAAGCGUGGGGAGCAAACAGG